GUUAAGAGCCAUAAACAUGAUCUUACACUUAAUUGCAUCUCUAAAAUUUGGCCCAGUCAUAGAGAGCAAGAACUUAGUCAGUAAAUUAUGAGUGAAGUUACGUCUAACAGAAUAAAAAAGCGCAAGAGGGGCAGAUGUUGCUACAAAACUAACCACUAACAUCUUCUUAUGUAGUUUUUCUCAUUUCAAAACUAAACUAAACAUUUUCUAUCACAGACUUUGCAAGAUUUACA
rnacentral:lncRNA from 1 species